rnacentral:lncRNA from 10 species
UGUUAACAUACCUGUUAAGUAAUAUUAGUGGCCAUUUGUAAAGGUCAAGGCAAGCUCUAGCUGGUUUUCAGAUUCCAAUCUAUGUCAUUUCCUUCUCUGUCCAUAAUCAGAACUCUAGAAAUGGCUCCUGGAUUCAAGAGGAACUCAGCCUGAAUUUCUGUUUGAGUGCCCAUUAGAUUGAGGAUUUUGUUAAUGACCAUGUUACCAGUGGGUUAAGGCUGACCUGAAGAUUCCUAGAAAAAUGCCCAUCUUUAAAUUAUGUUUGAAUGUAUGUAAGGACCAGCCUCCAAGCUGAUCCUGAAGUAUGGACAGGUCUAUACAGCUACUUGGAAUCCAGUGGGAAAGUCUGCAGGGCAUAGGGAAGUGAGGAAACGGGAACCUGACAGUUCCUGACAAAUACAAAUGGGGUCCUGCUCCGUCACCUAGGCUGGCAGUACAGUGGUGUGAUCACGGCUCACUGCAACCUUGAACUCCUGGGCUCAAGCGAUUUUCCUGCCUCAGCCUUCCAAAUUGCUGGGAUUAGAGACAUGAGCCACUGUGCCCAGUCUCUCCCUUUACAUUUCAAUCAUCUAAGCAAGCUGAGAAUAAGAGACAUGACUUGCCACAUUCAAGAAGCUGAAAGUGAAGUAACACACAUUUACCUGAUUCCAGAGCCUGUGUUGUUUUGCUGUGGCCCAUUGCCCCACAAGCCUCCAGUGACACCCAGACCUAGAACUAGAGGCCUGGGAAAGUACCAGAUUAGAGUUUAGGGCUACAAGAUGAUAAAUGAUGGACUUAGUCCAGAGUGUGCAUUUUAAUGGGGUAACGCCUAAAGGAUGAAUUCGGUACUGUGAUACUUAGGGUAUUUGCUUAUUUAUUUAUUUUGUUCUUACUCUUAUGUGGCAUAAUUGCAUUUAUGAGAUAAGACAUUAAAAACUAUUCUAUCCUCAGAAUGGUUUGUGUCAUCUGCUCUUUGAGAGUUAAUUUUUUGUUCAUGUGUUUGUUUAACUACAUGGAAUUUGAAGAUAAAUGUCAAUGGUCAGAUUUUCUUUUUUUUUUUGGCAGCCUUACUUUGUCACCCAGGCUGGAGUGCAGUGGCACGAUCUCAGCUCACUGCAGCCUCCGCCUCCCGGGUUCAAGUGAUUCUCCUGCCUCAGCUUCCCAAGUAGCUGGGAUUACAGGCGCCCGCCACCAUGCGUAGCUAAUUUUCUUGUAUUUUUAGUAGACACAGGGUUUCACCAUGUUGGUUAGGCUGGUGUCAAACUCCUGACCUCAAGUGAUUUGCCCACCUUGGCCUUCCAAAGGGUUGGCAUUACAGGUGCGAGCCACUGUGGCCAAGGUCAUAUUUUUUUUCCACAAGUAUGUAAUAGAGAUUUAGGAAAGCCAUAGUUGGCUAUAUUCAAGGAAAUUAAAUUGUUUUUAAAUAAAAAUCCAUGAAACUACAAUAUACAAAAGUUAGUAAGCAUCAUAAACAUGAAGUAAACUAGAAGUAUGUACUAGAGAGCAUUAUUCCUUAUUAAGUGUUAAGAAAAGUUUUAUUAAUAACAUUAAUUCUCUAGAUAAUCACUUUUUAUAUCCUUUCAAGAUGUCUCUAUCUUGAAACAUUUAUCUGCCACAUUAUAAAAAUAGAUAUUAUUUUAUUCAUUUAUAGAAUACUCACUGUGUUUAAGGCACUAUUCUGGACAUCGAGCUGCAAUAGUGAACAUAAUCAAGUUUCUGCUCUCAUUAAGCUUUGCUUCUAGUGAAGACACAAAUAACAAAUAACUAAACAAAUGAGUAAUCUAAUAUUUCUAUAUGUAUUAGUUAGAGCUAAGUACCCCCUGCUCCUCCAAGCUUCCAAGCCUCCAAGCCUCCCUCCUCCAAAAUGACUAAAAUCAUGUAUUUUUCUUUCCAUAGUCUUAAGGUGCCUGGUAGUGAGUAGCUCAAUCCCUGUGCACAUUAGAAAGAAUUAGGAUUCCUUCCAGGUAUCUGCUGCACCAUCUCCUAUGGCAUUGUUGGCUGAUUAAGCUAGGUCACCAUUACAUACAGGUGACAGCUGCCAGGAGGAUCUUAAGCUACCAGCGGCUUCCCCGCAGCACAUUGUAUUGGAGGGAACUUAGAAAUGAAAGGAUGCCAAUGAACGUGUGGCUAGGUGACCAUGUGGUCAGCUUCAAUUCCAUUACUUUGGAAGGAGAAGAGAGAGGAUUUUAAUGGCUAUCUAGUAGUCUCUGCAUAAUUUUGUACAGUUGUUUAACAACAUAGGAGAUGAUUAUGGAGAUUAUUAUGGUAAAUUGUCAUAAAAAUUUCUCUACAAGCGUUGAUUAACCAUUCUACUGGAGCAUACAGUUUGUUUCCAUUGUUUUAUUACUAUGGACAAGUUAAAAUAUUAGUGGUUCAUGAUUACAUUUUUUAUUAUCUCCUUAAGGUAUAUUUAUAGAAAUAAACUUACUAGUAAUAUUUGGACAACUUUACUUGUUGUUAAUCAUUUUCCAAAAGUAUUAUAUACAUUUUCAUUUACCUAUAGAAUUUUUUUCACACUCUUGCUAGAAAUGAACAUGGAUCUUGUUACUUAUUAAUAUGAGAGACAAAACCACUAUCUUGUUUCAUUAAAUAUUUCUUUGAUUACUAUUUGUCUGAUUUUUUCUCCAGUAUUUUUUAGGUAAUUACAUUUCUUUCAUGUACCUGUUGGGAUACUUCAAUUACAUUGUAUAAAUUGUUAUAGAUUAAGUAUUAAUCCUUUGUUAUAUUUGUUACCAGUGUGUGUUUUUCUUAAGUACUUUUAAAUAUUGUACUUUUAAAUGUUAUAUGGAAAAUAUACUUUUAAAAUAUACAAUUAUGUUCUAGUAAUAACACUUAUUAAAACUUCCA